GGUGGGGUGGCAGAGUGGUCGAAUGCGCCGGUCUUGAAAACCGGUAAGCCCUCCGGGGCUUCGCGGGUUCGAAUCCCGCCUCCACCG
rnacentral:tRNA from 2 species